rnacentral:lncRNA from 1 species
GCGUUUUGCUUGGAGCAUGCCAGCCCAGCAUAUACGUUGCAGGCCAGCGAAUGAAUCUCGUUUUGUUGUGCUGCUAUAUCUUUAUUAUAUAGCUCGGCAACGUUACAUUAUAAUGGCAAAGUUACAGAGCAUUGUAGCAUGCGUACAAACAUAUACAAAUUAUGAACCAAACAAAGUUUGUUUAAUACAUAGCAUGGAAGUGGGAUAACUUAACGUAACUUUAUGUAGCAGAUGGGAUCACAAUUAUGGUAAAAGAGAUGUGUAUCAAACUUUAUAGGAACAUUUUGGCAAUCACCAUUCACCAAAGUUCAGAGAUCGAUGCUCUAGGAAAUGACGUUAGUGGUUUCAAUAGAAAAUUACUUUAUUAAGUAUGGUGGGGUACAAUUUUUUGACAAAGAUAAAAAUAUAUAAGUAAUAAUAACAACUACAACAAAUUUUUAGUAAAGUGAAGUUCAGCUAUUAUAGAGUAUCUUCUGCUCUGUUAUUUGAGUAACGAGUAAAAUGAAUGUGUAGCCAUUUUUACUUAUCUUGAUAUUUCAGUUUAGCCAUCAUAUUCAGAAAAGUAUAAAUUAUGGUCAUUAAACUUGCUCGACUGUUCAUACAGCCAUGGACCCCAUAAUUCUACAUAUUGUACUUGUAUGAUGUUCUGUAUCAUUGUAUGUAUGAUGGUCCCAACAAACAUAUUUCCCUUCGCUUUCUCUUUUGUAUUUACAUCCCUCUCUAUUACAAGCUCUUCCACCUAUAAUAAUCAUACAUAGCCCCUUCUAUAUUCUGGAAGAGACAACAAUCACUCAUCUAUGUGCAGUAUAAGAAGACAUAAAGCAAUUUCACAUGAUGGUCG